GACGAACGCUGGCGGCGUGCUUAACACAUGCAAGUCGAACGGAAAGGCCCUGCUUUUGUGGGGUGCUCGAGUGGCGAACGGGUGAGUAACACGUGAGUAACCUGCCCUUGACUUUGGGAUAACUUCAGGAAACUGGGGCUAAUACAGGAUAGGAGCUCCUGCUGCAUGGUGGGGGUUGGAAAGUUUCGGCGGUUGGGGAUGGACUGGCAGCUUAUCAGCUUGUUGGUGGGGUAGUGGCUUACCAAGGCUUUGACGGGUAGCCGGCCUGAGAGGGUGACCGGCCACAUUGGGACUGCGAUACGGCCCAGACUCCUACGGGAGGCAGCAGUGGGGAAUAUUGCACAAUGGGCGGAAGCCUGAUGCAGCAACGCCGCGUGCGGGAUGACGGCCUUCGGGUUGUAAACCGCUUUCGCCUGUGACGAAGCGUGAGUGACGGUAAUGGGUAAAGAAGCACCGGCUAACUACGUG
rnacentral:rRNA from 1 species